rnacentral:rRNA from 1 species
GACGAACGCUGGCGGCGUGCUUAACACAUGCAAGUCGAGCGGUAAGGCCCUUUCGGGGGUACACGAGCGGCGAACGGGUGAGUAACACGUGGGUGACCUGCCCUCAGCUCUGGGAUAAGCCUGGGAAACCGGGUCUAAUACUGGAUAUGACUCCAUGACGCAUGUUGUGGGGUGGAAAGCCUUGUGCGGCUGAGGAUGGGCCCGCGGCCUAUCAGCUUGUUGGUGGGGNGAUGGCCUACCAAGGCGACGACGGGUAGCCGGCCUGAGAGGGCGACGGCCNCACUGGGACUGAGACACGGCCCAGACUCCUACGGGAGGCAGCAGUGGGGAAUCUUGCGCAAUGGGCGAAAGCCUGACGCAGCGACGCCGCGUGAGGGAUGACGGCCUGG